rnacentral:rRNA from 1 species
AUACGGAGGGUGCAAGCGUUAAUCGGAAUUACUGGGCGUAAAGCGUACGUAGGCGGUUCGUUAAGUUAGAUGUGAAAGCCCCGGGCUUAACCUGGGAACUGCAUUUAAAACUGGCGAACUAGAGUUGAGUAGAGGGGAGUGGAAUUUCAGGUGUAGCGGUGAAAUGCGUAGAGAUCUGAAGGAACACCAGUGGCGAAGGCGGCUCCCUGGACUCGAACUGACGCUGAGGUACGAAAGCGUGGGUAGCAAACGGGAUUAGAUACCCUAGUAGUCC